GCAAGUUGGUGUAAGGGUUGCAUGUCAGACUCAUGUUCUGAAGGAGGCCGUUCGACUCGGCCACUUGCAC
rnacentral:tRNA from 1 species